GAUGAAGAACGCAGCGAAAUGCGAUAAGUAAUGUGAAUUGCAGAAUUCAGUGAAUCAUCGAAUCUUUGAACGCACAUUGCGCCCCCCAGUAUUCUGGCGGGCAUGCCUGUUCGAGCGUCAUUUCAACGAUCAAGCCCUGCUUGUGUUGGGGUCCUGCGGCUGCCCGCAGGCCCUGAAAACCAGUGGCGGGCUCGCUAGACACACCGAGCGCAGUAGCACAUCUCGCUCAGGGCGUGCGGCGGGCUCCAGCCGUUAAAGCACCCACCUUUCGCAAGGUUGACCUCGGAUCAGGUAGGAAUACCCGCUGAACUUAAGCAUAUCAAUAAGCGGAGGA
rnacentral:misc_RNA from 1 species